UUUUUUUUUUUUUUUUUUUAUACUGCCGAUGUGAGACUUGUUCCCACAAGCUAUAUUCCAACAUAUCACAAAAUAAGAAAUUACUAAAUCAAUACUAAUGAAGAAUACUAAAUUAACACAAACUCCUAAAUAAUUAAGUACUAAAUUAAAUUUCCUAAAUUUCUUCCUAAAAUACAUGGACAUAAAAUCUUUAGUAGAAGAAGGUACCACAUCACAUAUGCCAUUCUUUGUGUUUACCAUUACAGGUGGACCUAACUUUGACCUCUAACUCAAAUGAAAAAGAAACAGAAUAUAAUUAAAUCCCCUUUUUAAGUAAACUUGAAGAAGGGUUGAAGAGGCUUUUUACAUUAUCUCCAACCUCAUUUUUAUUAUUAGAACUAGUGAGUUGCUUAUGAAGUACCAGUAAAAACCAAUCAUCUAAUAGGAGCUUUUUUUUUUUUUUUUUUUU
rnacentral:misc_RNA from 1 species